CUGGCAGUGAAAUCACUCUGCAGCAGGGUCAACAUGCUACAGAUGAGGAUUUCAGCACAAUAUUCCAACCUAUACCCCAAGAUCAUGUCCACAGUACAAACAAGGACUGCUUAGAAAGUAUGAUAAAAACCUAAGCCAUGCUGUUCCAUCUUCAUUUUAAAAAUCCUUUGAGGUCCACAAGUUAUGUCUAAGUCAGUGGAUACUGGAGUGCAACAAGGCUAUCUGAAUCUACUGGCCCUGCUUUUUGCUCCUGAAACAGAGGUUCACAUGUGCGGUGAGUGUGAAAGCAGCCCCCUACUGCCACCAGUUCUGCCGUCAGACUUCCUGCAUUUGGGGAGCCCAGACCACGGGCUGAACGUCGCCCUGGAGAGGAUGAGUUUGCCACCAGCGCAGUGUGCUGUAGUUUACAGGAUGAAUUUGUCACCAACGCAGCGUGCUAUAAUUUGCAGGCGUAGCCCCUGCACAGUAACCACUGCGAGAGGCAGGCGGCCUGGCGCGCGGCGAAGCCAUGUGCCUCCCCUCUCGGCGGCCGYGUCGGGACCGGCGGUCUGGCGGGAGUACGGAGACGAAGGCGCGGAGCGGCAUUAGCCCAGGUUUGAUGCCUGAUUCCUGUUGUACAGGUGACCUGACGAGCACCGCAAGAGCGUUUGCCGGCGUUAUUUCCGUGAACGGAGGAAUGCCGUGUGUGACCCCAAGCAAGCCUUGUCCUUGCCGUGGCCUGUGAGCUGGGCUGCUGCAGUAGUAUUUAGGCAUGUGUUAUAAGUAGCUAGAUAAUGGGGAGGAUUUUUAUGCGCUCGCCUGUGAAAAGCGAUGCAGGCCCGUGCUGGUGUCGAGGAGGGUGGCGUGCCGGGGGUAUGCGUGACGCGACCGCGGGCAGGGGCYGGCCGUGCUCCCGCUCCUCUCCCUGCACACACCUUCCCCGCACCAGGGCUAUUCAUCCGGAUUGGGCAAGGRCUCGAGCAGCCCGGGCGCUGCGGAGGCUGCUGUGGGUGUGUGCGUGCUCAGCGGCACUCGUCUCCGCAGCGCUGGGGUGGCUUUUUGGAAGUUUCCUACCGAGCCUGUUUCUUUUAUAGGCAGUGCUGCUGCGAUGCUACCAGCAUCUGCCCGUCCUGACACAAAACGACGAGCGUGGCUGUGCAGUCCUUCCUUCUCCACCCCGGCCCUCGUCAGUCCCCGAGGUGGGAUCGGGGACGUGGGGGGGCAGCGGCUGAGAGGCCGAGCGAGUAAUCACGUGUCGGAGCGGGUGCGGGGAGGAAGGGAGUAGCUGUCUGCCAGCUCUGUGUACAGAGGUGAGACGUUGCUCAUGACCGUGGCAAAGUCCUGCAGCAGAGAGCGGGUCGGCACGUGAGGACUUCUCAGUGAUUUUUUUUUUUUCCUGCCAAGGAGCCCGCCUUGUCCACCUGCUGCCGGUGGCUGGAAGGUAGGAAGCAGCUCCUGGAGCGCUUCAUGCUGACUUUCACCCUGAAAGCAAGCCGGUGCUGGAAGGUGCUUCGUGUUAGGAGAAA
rnacentral:lncRNA from 1 species